rnacentral:lncRNA from 1 species
UGGACCAACAGUCUUUAUAAGGCAAAAUUUGGACAUGUAUUCAACUAUUUCAGGUUCUAGUUCCUGGAAAGUGUCUAUUAAUACACAAAAUGGCUUAUCAAGUUUCUUAAAUUGACCAAGAAUGGCGGUCCUCAAGAAAGCAAAAGGAGUUGAAGGGCGCAAAUAGCUAGGAACUUCAUCGUGCUUGAGAAGUGGCAUGGACGGCAACUGAACAUCAAUUUCAGGAUCAGUUUCAGUAGGAAACGGCACUAACCCAUGAUUGUAAUGGUAAUAGGCGGCGAAACACGCGCAAGACUGCACCCAAAGCAUUGCUGAAGGGAUGCCGAGACUUUCAGCAACAUCAGAUGCCCAAGGAAUGUAAGGGUUGUUGAUUAAGCAAGAAACGGGACGGUUUUGCUCGGCGUAUCUCUUGAUCAUCGCUGAAAUCGCUGGUUUGCCUGCGAGCUCCAGUUGGUGCAUGUAUUGGUCGAGGUGUGCGCGUCUCGGGUCGUCGUCGUCCCAACCAUCCUGGAACGAUUCAAAUCGGAGAAAGCCAUCGCCCACAGGGAUAAGCUGGUCGUCAGUGAUGUUGUUGGCUUUAGCCAUCUGUUUGCCGAAGACUUUGGGGGUAGAUAGUGUGAUAAGCAAACCCUUGGAGGCAAGGCGCUUGCCGAGUCUAAGUAGAGGGUUUACAUGGCCUUGGGCUGGAAAUGAAACAAGAAACGCAUGAAGCAGAGGCUCAGUUCUCAUUCUACGCUUAAAAGAAGAGAAAGAUGCCAAUUAUCUAUUGAGCAAUGUAUGGAGGAAUGAAAUGGUAGUGUGUGUGUAUAUAUAUACACACAUAAUGAUUUAUUUCAAGAUAUAAUAUUUUUAAUAUUUUUUAAAAUUUAUAUAUUUUUGUAAUUUUUACAUUUUUACAUUUUCUUAAUUUUUUUAUAAAUUUUAUAAUAAUUUUCAAAUUUCUAAUAUUUUUAUAAUUUCUUAUAGUUCAUUUAAUAAUUUUAUUAUUUUUUACCAUUUUAAAAAAAUUCUAGCAUAUUUUUAAUUUUUUAAACAAUUAUAUUUAUUUAUUUCGAUCCCCACUCAUGGGAAUGAAGCACAUUUCAUAGCCAGCCGUUUACCUUUUCGGAGAGCACUUGCAAUGAGAGCAUUAAUUACUACUGUCGGCUAUGAUACGCUAACAAUGACAAAUAUAUAUAUAUUUAUAAUUUAUUUAUUUUUUAAAUUUUUAUAAUUUUAAAGGUUUUUUAGGUUUUUUUUCGAUGAUGGCAUCAUUGCAGCAUCAGUGUAGGCCACAGAUAAUUUUAUGAUUGGUUGGAUAUCACAACAUCUUUUUUUUUGAACGUCCAAAGGACUGAACCGAAAGCUUUUGAUAAAGUUAAAGAUUGAACUGAGAACAUCUAAUAAUGUUAGGGAUUGAAAUAAGCCAAUUUAGGGGACAAAUAGACAUGUCCAUGGGUCGAGCCACCCGGCCUAGCUUGAAGGCCAACCCGAAAAGUGGAAGGGUUUGAGUAAAAAUGUAGACCCAAAAAAUAGGCUUGGGCAAAAAAAUAUGGUUCAUUUAGAAAAUGAAUCAGGCCUUGAGUAAGGCUUUUUUGGCUCUAAGCCCGGCCUGGACCGAAUAUGCAAAAAAUAUAUAUAUAUUUACUGUUUUGUUGUUAUUUUCUUAUUGUUUUUUUCUCACUAUUUUGCUACCAUUUCACUAUUAUGUUAGCUACUAUUUUGUUAUUAUUUUGUUAUAAGUCUUGUUUUAUUGUUAAUUUUGUUACAAUUUUAGAGGCAUUUACUUGUUAAGUUGCGAUUAUCUUAGUGUUAUUUAAGUAUAUAUAUUUUUAAUUUGUUUUUAAUUUGUUAGGAAAUAUUUAUUUUAAUACUUUUAAUAUUUUUGAUGUAUUAUAUUUUUAAAAAAUUUAUAUAAAAAAAUUAAUACGGGUGCCUCGAGCCCUGAAUUUAACAUUUUAAUCCGGGCGGAGCUUAGACAAAAUUUUAGGCUCAUUUUUGAGCCGAACCCAGAUCUAGCAAACGAGCUUAAAUUUUUUUGUUGGGCUCGAUCCAUGAACACCUCUAGGACAAAGGAAGAAAAGCGGUAUACGUAAAAAAAAAAAAAAAACUACAGGUUGCAUUAAACUUUUCUUAAUAUGAGAUUAAUAUACUUACCUACUUCUUUAAAGCCAUAGAAUGGAAAAGAGAGAAAAUUGGCAUUUUAAACUUCACUUAUUAACGAAGAGACGUGGGGAAUGACUGGGUGCAAACCAAUUUUUUCUCCCAAAGGAUACAUAGUUGAUGUUUCUGGAUACUAUGUGUAUGUGUGUUCCCUUCUUCAGGUGGGAUAAAAUGACAAAUAUAAGCUCAAUUAUCAACUUCAAUUAGCUUCUUAAGACGUAUUUAUGUAUCUGUUAUGUUACGUAUGUAUGAUAAUAGAUUCUUAAGGUUUCUCUACGUAAGAUGUGAGCAUAUUGGAGCAUAUAACAAAUUAGGCCAUUGAGAUGGUGAUGUGGUAUGAAUUAUGAGCUAGAUUACUUAUCGAGCGAAUGAAUACAUUUAAAUUUAAAUUCGUUUAAGUGCAUAAUGUCCUUUACUUUAAACUUAAGUUUGUUUACUUUACUCAUAUAUAUAGUGGCGGAGCCGCUAUGAGACCACGGGGUCAUGACCCCUCAAGGUCUAAGAUUUUUCAAUUUUCCCAUUACGGCGCUCCCAAAUAUAGAAGUAGGCCCUUCAAUAUUUUUUAUACUAUUAAAAUAAUAUUAAAAAAUUAUAAGCAAAAUGUUCCAAAUCAUCUGACAUUACAGAAUCUGUCCAUAAUUUUUUACCUUUGUCAAGGAUUAACAAAGAUAUAUUAAGGCCUAUAUGUUUUGCACUUAAAAUUGUGUUUCUUACUAUAGAAAGAUGAAACUUUUUAACAAACCUCUCAGGUUUGAUGUUGUUGUUUUUUUUCUUUUUAUUAAACAAAUUUUCACUUAAGAUGAUGUGCUUCAUGUUAUACAAUUAUAGGUAAUUUGGGUGUUUGAAGUAAACUCCUAAAGUCUUCAUUAUAGGAGUUGGUUUUCUACAUGCAUGUGGGCACUAUUUGUUUGCAAUGCCUUUUGGUGUAGUCUGGGUUUUGUAGGUUUUGAUAUUAUUUUGGUGUUAUAUGCCAUAAAGAGUCUUAUGGUUGGGCUUUAUUUAAAUCUUUAAUAUUUGUAUCUUUCUAUUGAGAAAUAAGAUGUAUGUGACUUUGAGAUAGAAAUGAAAUUUCUAAGAAAAGGGAUAAUUAUGGAAAUUUGAUUAAAAUUUGUAGGUUAUGGUAAUAUAUUUGAGUGGUUGAUAAAUAAUUAAAGGGGUAAACUAUCAAAAUAGUCACUUUUGUUUAUCCCAGAUUACAUUUUAGUCACUUAUGUUUGAAAUGUUAUGUUUUAGUAACUUACGUUAACGUGUUGUAGCAUUUUAGUUACGGAGCCGUUAAUUGUCGUUAAUGGUGUAACGGUAAUCUGGCGUGGCACGUUAAAUUAUCAUUUCAAACAAAAAUUUUAGGUUAAAUUAUACAAUUGGUCCCCAUAUUUUUUCUUUUUGAGCAAUUUAAUUUUUUUCUUUUUUGUUGUUUUAAUUAUCUUUUUUUUCCCUUUGUUUUUCAUUCUCUUCUGCUUCUUCCUCUGUCUUUCUCCAUCUCUUUUAAUGUAGUUUUUCUAUGUUUUUCAUUUGUUAAAACUAAAGGGGAAAAAGAAAAAAUUAAAUUGUUCAAAAAAUAAAAGUAUAGGGACUAAUUUUAACAAAUAAAAAACAUGAAAAAAAAACUACGUUAAAAGAGAUGAAGUAAACAAAUGGAGAAGCAGAAGAGAAUGAAAAAUAAAGAAAAAAAAGUUUAAAACAUAUAAAUGGAAAAAUUAAAUUGCUCAAAAUGAAAAAAUAUGGGAACCAAUUGUAUAAUUUAACCUAAAAUUUUUAUUUAAAAUGAUGAUUUAACGUGCCACAUCAGCUUAUCGUUACACCGUUAAAGGCAGUCAACGGCUCAGUGACUAAAAUGUUACAACAUAUUAACAUAAGUGACUAAAAUGUAACAAUAUUUCAAGCAUAGGUGACUAAAAUAUAAUAUGAGGUAAACAAAAGUCACUAUUUUGAUAAUUUACCAUAAUUAAAAAUAUUAAAAAUGCAGAACAAAUUGAUGGUUCACUCAUCUGAUUUUGAUUUGUAAUGCUUUUUACUUAAAAUUUUAGAAGUUGUAUUUUAUUUUAUUUGUAUAGGUAACCGAUUUUUAUUGGAUUGAGUGAUAAGAAGUUUGAUAUUGUUUUUAAAUAAAAUUUUCGGUAAAAUCUCCAUUAGGUUUGGUAAGAAGUUUCAUCACUAGAAGCAAGUGAGAAAACAAACAUUUUCAGUACCGUGAUUACUACUAUAUCUCCAUUAGGUUCGAACCUAUGUCUCUCCUUGAGGGUAUCCAAUGUACCUCACUAUUUGCACCCAACACUUGUUGGUUCAUGAGACUUUCUUUGUUAAUAUGACUUUUGUCAUUAUUAACAUAUAUUGAAAUUACUACCCAACGUAUUAAUUUGUCGUCCAAAAUCUUUCGAUAUUUUAUAAUCAUGUUAGUUUUCGAUUAAAUUUAGAGCUAGACCGGAAUCAAACUCUUAACCAGUAAGUAAAAUAUAUAUUUAGCAAAAAUAUAAAUUUUUAGAAACUUGAAAUAAGAUUUAAAUAUGGAUGAAAAAAAAUAUAAAUCAUUAUAUAUAUUAGGCACAUUUAUAAAUUAAUAUAUUUAGCAAAGGGUAUAAAUUAUGUUAGGAUGAUUUUAAAAUAUUUAAUUUUUAAGUACCCAUAAAAUGGUAUCGCAUUAUUUACCUUUAAAAAUGUAAAAGCAUUAUUAUACACGCAUUGAUAUUUACUAUCUUCUCCAAUUUAACUUUAAUUAAUUAAAAAAAACUUAACUUUAAUUAAAAAUUAAAAAUUAAAAAAUAAACAAACACUUUUCUUAUUUUAUAAUUUUUAAAUCAUUUUUAAUUUUUUUACCUUAAAGAAAUCAUUGUUUUUUUUUUUGUUAUAAAUUUUUGGAAUAUUCUCUAAUACUAAAUUAUCUAUAAAUAAUUUUUUCAAACCAAAUCCUAACAGAGUUAAACUCAUACAAUUUACUUACAAAUAACUUAACAUGUUUAUAUGUAAAUGGAAAAGCUAUAGUUACAUAAUUAUAUUUAUUUCUAUUAUUUUCCAUCAUCAUUACAUUACCUUACAAAACAUCCAUAUAUCACUGCUAAACUAUCUCUACCUCUGUCGGGGAGUGCUUAUUCACAAAAUUCAUAGUAGCUGCAUCAUUGUCAGUGCUUGUGCAUCUCCUUCUCACCUCAUUAAUGAAGGCUUGUAUGUUCCUAUCAGAGGAUCCGCCACCUGCCAUCACUGCCUCCGCCGCAGCCUUCCACUUCAAGGCGUUGCGCUUCAAAUCCUUUGCCUUCGGCCCCACUGUUGCUUCCACAAAGCAUUUCGCCACCUCCUCCUUUGGAAUUAUCCUGUUUUCUGCCUCUCCACGGCCCAUUCUCACCCCGGUCUUGAACACAUCGACCAAAUAAACAGCGUUCGUCACUUGAUCGCCCCAUUGAGGGAACGCAACGAUGGGCACACCACAUGACAGUGCCUCCAUCGUCGAGUUCCAACCGCAAUGCGACACAAAGCAGGAAACCGAAGGGUGAAUCAGCACUUUAUCUUGUGGACUCCAUUGCACGACCUUGCCAUUGUCACCCACUUUCUCCAAGAACCCUUCAGGCAAAGUGUGGAUUGGAAGGCCAGACUCCUUUGCCGGCGGUUUCAUCACCCACAAGUAUGAGAUACCAGUGGCUAACAGCGCUUCAGCUAUUUCAUCCACUUGUUCUUGUUUCAAGUAAACAACAGUACCAAACGAGAUAUAUAUCACUGACGCGGCCGGUUUGGAGUCGAGCCACUCGAUGCAGUCAUCAGGUUUCAUGAUGUCACAACGGAUCGUGUUGUUUGGUACUUCGGGGUACUUGAACAAUGGACCAACGGUCUUUAUAAGGCAAAACUUGGACAUGUAUUCAACCAUUUCAGGCUCGAGUUCUUGGAAAGUGUCCAUCAAUACGCAAAAUUGCUUAUCAAGUUUCUUAAAUUGACCAAGAAUGGCCGUCCUCAAGUAAGCAAAAGGAGUUGAAGGGUGCAAAAAGCUAGGAACUUCAUCGUGCUUGAGAAGCGGCAUGGAC